ACACAUGCAAGUCGAACGGUAACAGGAAGCAGCUUGCUGCUUUGCUGACGAGUGGCGGACGGGUGAGUAAUGUCUGGGAAACUGCCUGAUGGAGGGGGAUAACUACUGGAAACGGUGGCUAAUACCGCAUAACGUCGCAAGACCAAAGAGGGGGACCUUCGGGCCUCUUGCCAUCAGAUGUGCCCAGAUGGGAUUAGCUUGUUGGUGAGGUAACGGCUCACCAAGGCGACGAUCCCUAGCUGGUCUGAGAGGAUGACCAGCCACACUGGAACUGAGACACGGUCCAGACUCCUACGGGAGGCAGCAGUGGGGAAUAUUGCACAAUGGGCGCAAGCCUGAUGCAGCCAUGCCGCGUGUAUGAAGAAGGCCUUCGGGUUGUAAAGUACUUUCAGCGGGGAGGAAGGUGUUGUGGUUAAUAACCGCAGCAAUUGACGUUACCCGCAGAAGAAGCACCGGCUAACUCCGUGCCAGCAGCCGCGGUAAUACGGAGGGUGCAAGCGUUAAUCGGAAUUACUGGGCGUAAAGCGCACGCAGGCGGUCUGUCAAGUCGGAUGUGAAAUCCCCGGGCUCAACCUGGGAACUGCAUUCGAAACUGGCAGGCUUGAGUCUUGUAGAGGGGGGUAGAAUUCCAGGUGUAGCGGUGAAAUGCGUAGAGAUCUGGAGGAAUACCGGUGGCGAAGGCGGCCCCCUGGACAAAGACUGACGCUCAGGUGCGAAAGCGUGGGGAGCAAACAGGAUUAGAUACCCUGGUAGUCCACGCCGUAAACGAUGUCUACUUGGAGGUUGUGCCCUUGAGGCGUGGCUUCCGGAGCUAACGCGUUAAGUAGACCGCCUGGGGAGUACGGCCGCAAGGUUAAAACUCAAAUGAAUUGACGGGGGCCCGCACAAGCGGUGGAGCAUGUGGUUUAAUUCGAUGCAACGCGAAGAACCUUACCUGGUCUUGACAUCCACAGAACUUUCCAGAGAUGGAUUGGUGCCUUCGGGAACUGUGAGACAGGUGCUGCAUGGCUGUCGUCAGCUCGUGUUGUGAAAUGUUGGGUUAAGUCCCGCAACGAGCGCAACCCUUAUCCUUUGUUGCCAGCGGUCCGGCCGGGAACUCAAAGGAGACUGCCAGUGAUAAACUGGAGGAAGGUGGGGAUGACGUCAAGUCAUCAUGGCCCUUACGACCAGGGCUACACACGUGCUACAAUGGCGCAUACAAAGAGAAGCGACCUCGCGAGAGCAAGCGGACCUCAUAAAGUGCGUCGUAGUCCGGAUUGGAGUCUGCAACUCGACUCCAUGAAGUCGGAAUCGCUAGUAAUCGUGGAUCAGAAUGCCACGGUGAAUACGUUCCCGGGCCUUGUACACACCGCCCGUCACACCAUGGGAGUGGGUUGCAAAAGAAGUAGGUAGCUUAACCUUCGGGAGGGCGCUUACC
rnacentral:rRNA from 1 species